ACUCAAAUGAAUAGACGGGGGCCCGCACAAGCAGCGGAGCGUGUGGUUUAAUUCGACGCAACGCGAAGAACCUUACCAGGGCUUGACAUGCCCCGUUCAGCCGGUGAAAGCCGGUGGCCCGCAAGGGCGAGGGGUGCAGGUGCUGCACGGCUGUCGUCAGCUCGUGCCGUGAGGUGUUGGGUUAAGUCCCGCAACGAGCGCAACCCCUGGCGCAAGUUACAUGUGUCUUGCGCGACUGCUGGUGGCAAGCCAGAGGAAGGCGGGGAUGACGUCAAGUCAGCGUGGCCCUGACGUCCUGGGCGACACACACGCUACAAUGGCCGGGACAACGCGCAGCGACACGGCGACGUGAAGCGAAUCGCUCAAACCCGGCCCCAGUUCAGAUUGCAGGCUGAAACCCGCCUGCAUGAAGGCGGAGUUGCUAGUAACCGCGGGUCAGCCAUACCGCGGUGAAUACGUUCCCGGGCCUUGUACACACCGCCCGU
rnacentral:rRNA from 1 species